rnacentral:lncRNA from 1 species
GAUGAGCUUCGACAAGUCAUUUCUAGGUAUGAGGAGAUGGAAGCAGCUCUAGAUUCAGGAGAAGAACUGCCUAAAACACCUGAAAAUGGAAGUGGCCUGCCCAACACAGCUCCAGAGUCGGGAGAAAGACUGCCUAAAACACGCGAAAAUGAAAGUGGCCAGCCUAAUCUUGCUGAUACCAGCGAAGCCAAUUUAGAGAAGCUGUCUUUAAAUGCAAGUGAAAGUCAUGCUGUAGCACCUACAAAAGGAGAUAGCAAUCAGUCACUCCACGAGGUUGUAAAGCCGGGUAUU